UUUUAUCUUCCAUCUCUAUUUUGCCAAUUUGUUUAUACAACAUAGAAUAAUAUAUAUCUUUGUUUAAUCCAUGUCAAUAUAUAUUUUAUUUUUUAUAUUAUUCGAAUAAAACAUUCAAAAACAUGAACAUCUAAAAACAUAAAAAAUAAAAUCAAUGUUUAAAGUAUAAAAUAAAAA
rnacentral:misc_RNA from 1 species